UACGUAGGUGACAAGCGUUGUUCGGAUUUACUGGGCGUAAAGAGCGCGCAGGCGGUCGAUCAAGUCGAGUGUGAAAGCCCCCGGCUCAACUGGGGAGGGUCAUUCGAUACUGAUCGACUCGAAGGCAGGAGAGGGUAGUGGAAUUCCCGGUGUAGUGGUGAAAUGCGUAGAUAUCUGGAGGAAUACCGGUGGCGAAGGCGGCAUCCUGGACCGGCAUUGACGCUGAUGAGCGAAAGCUAGGGGAGCAAACGGG
rnacentral:rRNA from 1 species